rnacentral:ribozyme from 1 species
CCCCAAAACGAACAAAGAAAAAAAAAAAGAAAGAAAGAAAGAAAAAAGAAAAGAAGAAUAGCAAACAAAGG